rnacentral:tRNA from 1 species
GGGGGUAUAGCUCAAUGGUAGAGUGUGUGUUUAGCAUGUAUGUGGCCCUGGGUUCAAUGCCUAGCACACACA